CACCGGCGAAACCAACUACUUCCUCCUUGGUGUAUUAUGGGAUAUUGUUUUUGUGAUUUUCCACGCUGAAACAUGACACUUUAUCGAUUGUAACCAAACGACAAAUAUAUUGGAGUUGCCGACAAGACAAGGAAACAUGGGGACGGAUUUUGUAUCCGAAGUUGACCGAAAAUUCUUCUCCAACAAUAUGCUUUCCCACGAGGAUUGGGAAGCCAGUAUGGGGUUGGAAGAUCUAAUGAGCAUGGACACAAAUAUGAGCUCAGAGAAUGACUUUAUGAAUGAUCUACGACCAUCAGACUUUCAGUUGUCCGAUUCGGGGACCACAGAUUUCUUCUCCAACAUUGGCUCAACAACUCAUGAUGAUCUGCUCAAUGAAUGGAGUGACAGCUCGGAUAGCGGCAUUUGUGGUCUGAGCAGCCCGUCUUCCCACUCAGUCAUCAAGCAUGAGCCGUUGUCCCCGUCUCUCUCCAGCCACUCUGACAGCUGUGACAGCGCCAGCCACACGCCCACUGACUUCACUACAUACACUUACACAAUCUCCGACCUCUCUGGGGAGCUUGACCCCAGUACGACCUUGACUGUGAAUCCGGUCACUGUGACCCCUGCUGACCCCUUGACCCUUGCGAACUCUGUCAGCCACACCAUUGACUUCUCAGAUACUGAUACCGACCCAGCACUCUCGAGCCAGUCAUCAGCAUUACAUACCCACUGGAGACUGAAAGACUUUUUCAUUCGGAACCUUACACUGUCAAAAGGGGCCAUAAAUCCAUCCAUACUGCCUACAGCAAUUGUCAAAUCAGAAAUCUCACCAGUGCCUAUAGCUACACAGUCACCAAAUGUCAUUAACAUUAGCCUACCACUAUCACCGACCUCAGUUUCUCAGAUCGACACAAUCCUUAACGGGAAGGUCAAGAUACAGCCCAAGAUUGAGCCCAGGUCCAAUCCUUCGAGUCCAAAACGGGCUCGAACCUCUCCAUCAGUAGAGCUCAGCUCUCCAAAGUCGCUGGUGCUAACACAAGAGGAAUUCGAUCGUCUCACACACCAGGGGGUGCUGCGUUUCCAGCCUCCCAAACAGGAGAGUAUUCUCCCAGGGCCCACUACUCUUCCUGCCACACAUGUUGUUACUGCCCCUCGCCUUCCUGUCCCGCAGGUGGUGCCAAUCUGCACAAGUACGAUAUCACUGCUAGAGGAUAAAGACUCAAAAGCUAUGAAGAGACAACAACGAAUGAUUAAAAACAGGGAAUCAGCCAGCUUGUCAAGGAAACGAAAGAAGGAGUACAUGUCCACCUUGGAAGAAAGACUCCAGGAGACUUGUGAUGAGAACGAGAAACUGAAGAUGGAAAAUCUCACACUGAGAAGUAGACUGUCACAGCUGCAUUCAGAGAAUGAGUAUCUCAAGAAGUCACUGUCUGUUAGCCCCAACUUGAAGAAGACUAUUGUAUUGGUGUGCUGUCUGUUCUUCACGCUCAAUCUGGGAUCUUGGAGCUCUAUAAUGUUAACAAGCAGGCCAGAUGUUGGGACAGACUCUCUAACAGUAUCUCAAGUGCACAGAGGUCGCCACCUAAUGGCCGCCACACCGGAAAGCUCGGGCUCUGAUCUCGGAUAUCCGGACACGGUUACUGACACAGCAAACCGGAUUCACGAUUUCUUCAUGAAGUAUGGGAGUACUGGGGUGCACGCUGGUGACAAGAUGUUCAAUGCUUCUGACGUGCCCCCAAUGUGUCCUACAUAUUACAAUAAGACGGAGUCAAUGAGGUUGGCAGAGCAGUUGGCGGGUUGGAUGUAUCGACAUGAGGAGAAGAAGAAGAAGAAGACAGGGAAGAAGGAGGCAGAGAAAGAAGUGAAGCAGCUGAGACCUAUCUCCUCUCUGAGACGAGCCAUGCGGGGGGAGAUGGGGCCAGGGCUGGACUCCAAGUACAGUGCUGGUGAUGCCAGGUACCAGAUUCAGCUCUACGAGGGCUCUGACACGGGCAAGGACUUUCUGAAGGCUCUACAUCGGAGAAAUGACACCUUCUACGUACUCAGCUUUGACGAGGAUUACUACCUGGUACCUGCUGUCUACCACAACAAGACAUCCAGACCACGCAUGUCACUGGUCAUGCCGGCUGUCGCACUCAAUGAGUCCAUGAUGCCGCGAGAUGAUGAGGUGGGAAUGAUGCAGAUCGACUGUGAAGUGAUGAACACCAACCUGAUCCACGUGAGCAAGUCUUCAAUCCCCCGAUACGCACGCGGCAAGCACAACCACACCCAAACCAACUUCAACAACCAACCAAAAGCCUGAGAGCUGGGACAGAACUUGGGUCUAACUGAUUGUCAUGGAAAAGUAUGCUGUUUUAACAGCCUGAAAAGGCUUUUAAAAUUGACAGAUUUUUUGGUGGUGGACAUCAUAAUGUGGAGACUUAAAAGACACUUAAAAUGUAUGAUUUUAAACAGAUAAAAUGAGUGUUGAAAUGAUAAUGCUUUUAAUGGUUUAACAUACUAACAGAUUUGUAGAUUGUUUUAUGGAAUGUCAAUUGUGUGUUGAACUGAUAUGUGCAGCUGAUUUAUGUAGCAACCAUGCUUUGAUGAGUCUCUGUUGUUUGAAAACAACAACAAUGGAAUAUGGAUAGCGGUCUGAAAUAGGUUUUAUGAUUGUAGACAUAGUUGAUUUAGUCAGAUUGCUGACAUAGUAGACAUGUUUAAAAAAGUAUCGCUAAUUUAUUGACUGUGAUUUAGAGGCAUAGAAACUAUUUUUAAAUUUCUGAGAAUGGCACAAACCUUUUGAUGCUUUUAGGAAGUGAUUGUUUGUAAUUGAAAUAGGUAUGUUGUUUUAAAGAAUAGUUAAUAGAACUCAGUUUUUAGAUUGAAAGUUAUGGUUAUUGUGUUACAUGAGCAAAAUGAUGUGAUUUUUGUUGUGUUAUAGUAGUAGAAAAGAUAUUAGAAACAUAGUGCUCAAUGAAGAUUUCUUCUGAGUUAAGAUAUUAGAAACAUAGUGCUCAAUGAAGAUUUCUUCUGAGUAAUUUUAAAAUGAAUGGAGAUGUGAAUUAUCAUUCUUAAAUAGACUUUCUCUUCAAACUUUUAACACUGUAUGACAAUUUACCAUUACCAGCUACAAGUCAAUACAAUUAUGUAAACUUGCAGCUUUAUAACACAAAAAUACUUACAGAAAUCACUGUUCUAUCACUGACCAAAUUAAUGUAUUGAAUGGAGUGAGAUACAAAAGUUUAUUUGAAGGCAGCUGUUUUACAGAUAUUGUUCAUGACUAAUCGUCUGUCAUUAUAAUUGUUCAUAAGUGGUUGUGUCUCAUGUCUUUUCUUUUAUCACAAUACUUACAGCAUUAUAUACAUUUGUAUUUUUCGGUACAUAUAUUCAUGGCUGCUUGUCAAAAUUGAUCAUUUGGACUUCACAUAGAACAUACAGAUUUAGAAAUUAACUUCAUCAAGUUUGUUGAUUUUAAUGUUUAUUGUGUCUAUGAAUGUAAGAUAUGUGGACAAAAGCUGAUACUUCAAAUAAUGAUUUCUUCAAAGAUUUAAAUAUUUGAAUUCCAGAAUACUUGGACCAUUGAUGUAUUCAUAUGUUUGUGUAUUAUGUAAUAAAUGUGGGACACUUAUGGUACAUGUUUUAGGGUUUAUUUUGUUUAGUUGUAGAUGAUUUAGCUUAGAUUUUUUAUUUUUAUAUAAGUAUAAUAUUUACUGUGAGAGUGUAAUGAAACUUUUGUCAAAUGUACAAUUUUGCAAGAAAAAAUAUUUGUCAGACGAAUGUUUUGAUAAAUGGAACGUGUUUCCAGCUGAAACGUGUAUUUACAACAAAUUGUAUUUCAAUAUGUUGCUACAUCUAAAGAAAAACACAUCAACAAAACUUAUAUGCCAUCUUUAGCACAAGUAUAAUUUUAGACUGUUUCUGCUAUGAAAAUGAUUGGUGUUGUGUUAAUUUUUAACCAGGUUUUCCGAAGGAAAAAACUGGUUAUUAGAUUGGCGAAUGCGGGCGGGCUGGCUGGCUGGCGGGCUGGCGGAACAAGCUUGUCCGGGCCAUAACUAUGUCGUUCAUUGUCAGAUUUUAAAAUCAUUUGGCACAUUUGUUCACCAUCAUUGGACGGUGUGUCGCGCGAAAUAAUUACGUCGAUAUCUCCAAGGUCAAGGUCACACUUUGAGUUCAAAGGUCAAAAAUGGCCAUAAAUGAGCUUGUCCUGGCCAUAACUAUGUCAUUCAUUGUGAGAUUUUAAAAUCAUUUGGCACAUUUGUUCACCAUCAUGGUACAGUGUGUCGCACGAAAGAAUCACGUCAAUAUCUCCAAUGUCAAGGUCGCCACGACUAAAAAUAGAUUUUUUUUUUUUUUAAACAAACUUACAAAGGGGGUUAAUUUUGUUUGUUCAUUUAAAAAGUUCAGUUUGAGUUUUCUCCCUUUAUCAAAUUUUUUUUUCACAAUGAAAACCUGGUUUUGUGACAAUUUUGUCCCUUGUUAUUAUAUAUUAUAUAAACAUGGUUUUGGGUGUUUGCAUCUAAUCAUUCCAUUUAACCUGUAUGUUUUUUGUGUGAAUAUUGCAUUUCGAUUUCUUUAUUUAUAUUUAUGUGUGGAAUACAAUAUGCAGUUAUGUAAUGGCAUAAGUCUAAUAUUCCUGUGGCCUUUACUCUUACUAUUUAACCAUUUUAUGCUUGACAUUUCUGAGGGUUUUAUGAAAUCGCCUCAUCGGUGCAUAAAGGUACCAUGUGCCUUCUAAUUUCAAUGGCUUGUGGUAUCUUUUUUCACCAAGGGGGCGAUAUAUGCUUUGUGCUGUAUUGUUGCUACUGUAGUGAUUUGUAACUGACGAUGUUUGAAAUGUUGUAAACAUGAGGCUUGUCAGUUCUUCUCAUCGAGAUCUACACAAUUUUGAAAUCCAUUGCUGGGUAUUUUUAAGGUGCCUGUUUUUGCCAUAUUACUGUAUUACGUUGACAGGUACUUAAAUAAAGUAUACUUGCUUUUAAUUUCCAUUUUAAAUGGACUUGUUCACAUGUUUUAGGUUUAAAAAAUAAUCUUAUUUUAUACAGCAUAAAAAAUCUAUUUUUAAAUAGUGUUGAAGUUAAGAUAGACAGUUGAAACAUAAAUUGCUCGUUGGUAUUCAAAAUCCAGUCCUUUAAGAGCUAAUCUCUUACACUCAACAUUGUGCCAUUCAAGCUUGUCAACUUUGAUUCUUACUCUAAUGCUAGGUUAUUGAUACUAACAUAAACCUAAUAACUAAUGAAUAGUGCUACAAUUACUGUAAAAAACAUUUAAAUCCAUUUCAGUUGAUGAUUACCCAUGAAGGAAGUAAUUAUCUAUUAUGUUUGUCUUAUAAAUGAGUGUUCUUUUAUAUGUAUAAUGUAUAAAACUUGGAUUUGCAAGUUGUCAGUGAACAGGGCCAAUGAAAAUAACGAUUUUAUGGUGCACAUGCCCCAUUGUCUACAAGUCAUUGUACGAUUAUGUUUGAUAUGUAAACUAUGUAAUAUCAUGUUCAGUGAAUGUUUAAAUAUGAAUUGUCAUUCCUUUUUUCCAAUGAUUUGUAAUUGACAUACUUCCAAAAUCUAAAUUAAUUAAGACGUCUUAAGUAGCAUGAACAAAUGAUUUGUUAAAACAUAAGUUAUUGAUGACAAAUUAUUGCAGGAAUACUAUUUAGGGUUUCAGAAAGCAUUUUCUGUUUGCUUUAAUGAAUUAUAAUUUUGAACUGUUUAAUCCAACCAGAAAAGAGCUCCUAUACGUUAUUUUAGCCCAUGUAAAGCAAAGUAAUAAAGAACCACUUUUUUUCACUCCCUGAAAUGUGACGUCAAGAGUUGUCUCCCUUGUUGGUUCAUGCUAUCUUUAGUAAUUUAGGAACCCUUACUAGAUAAGUAUGGUUAGGAUGCAAUAAUAGUAAUGGCUGAUGAGUGAAGAUUUUUAUUCUAGUGCAAGUCAUUUGUUUUUGUAAGUCGAUGAAUCAUGUAUCUUCCAAAUAUUUUUUCUGAUGAAUUCGUUCUCAGUUUGCAGAUUUAUCUCUUCUUGGCUUUAAUUUUGUUGCAUAAUAUUUAUCAGCUGCUAUUAUUACUUGACUUGUGAUUAAAGUCUGGACCAUGAUUUGUGGAUACAAUGAUGUGCAAUGGGUUUUUAUAUUUAACUGCUUAUUGUCAAAUUAACCUAUACAUAUUAAAUGUUUUUGUUGUUGCGAUCUACGAGAUUUGUACGGAGUUAAAUGUUAAUGCUUUAUUAAUAGCUCGCCUGAGUACAACAUGCUCAUGGUGAUCUUUUGUGAUUGCCUUGUGUAUGGUAUGCAUCGUCAACAAAUGCUUUGUGGUGAAGACUUGAAGAGGCUGCAUAUAUUGUCCAUUAUUUCACAUCUUUAUGAAACUUGGUUAGAACAUUUGUCCAAAAGAUAUUUCGGCCAAUAUUGAAACUGUGUCACAUGAGGUUAAAAUAUAGCUAGGGCCUCUGGCUCAAAUUAAAGAAAAAGCUUGUGAACAAUUAUGAAGCCACAUUUAUUGCUCAAUCUCCACAAAACUUUGUCAAUACAUUGUUCAUACUGACAAAAUUCUAAACUUGGUUUCUUCAUGGCAAAAUAAUAUGUAACUAGGUCAAAUUAUUAAAAAAGCUUUUUUGAAACACUCUAGAGGUCAGGUAACAUUUAUUGCCCUGUUGUCAUGAAACUUUGUGAGAGCAUUUGUCCCAAUUAUAUCUCUGACUAAGUCCGAAAUUGAGUAAUUUUGUGGUUAAAAACUAGAUCACUAGGUAAAUAAAACAAAAGGCUCUUGAGCAUUCUAGAAUUCACAUUUGUUCGGGCAAUCUUCACGAAACUUGCUGUGAUAUUUGUGCUCAUUGAUUUCUGAAACAAGUUAGAUAUGGUUCCUGUCCAUUGAAAAACAUGACUGCCACAUGGUAGGGCAUUUGUCCUUAUUUGGCUAUAGUGAAACUGCACUCUUUAGAUGUCACUUUUUGUUUACCCUCUUACCAUAAAACUUGCUUGGUAUUUACCAAUACAUGUAGUUUGAAAAUGAUUAUGGAUUGUUCAUGAACAUGACUGACAAGUGUUGGCUCAGUUUUUCUUUUAAGUCUAAUGUGAAAAAAUGUGAACACUUUCUACUCAGAACAGUUAAGUUCCUUGUGGUCUCACUACUUCUGUGGUAAGACUGUUGUGACACCUUAUAAAUCAGCUAUAUCAAGUGUAGUUGUAGAGUGUUUGUAUAUGGUCGUUGUGUGCAUUUUUUAACUCUGUAUAUCGUGUCUGAUAUGCUUUAUGGAUGUGGGUUGAGUUGUUGUGCAUAUAUAUUUCUAGUCACAAGAUAUCGAAAAACUUUGGCAGUUUUAACAUAUAGUUAAUUAUGUAGAGUCAACAUCUAAUAUAAUAUAUAUCAUUUUGUUGAAUUAAUUUGAAUACAUUUGACUUAUUUUCAUGUUAAUUAUAUUCGAUCUUGCACAACAUGAAUGAUAUAUGUAUAUAAUAUGUAUAUCAAUAAAAGUAAAACGUU